rnacentral:misc_RNA from 1 species
UUUCCGUAGGUGAACCUGCGGAGGGAUCACUACAGAGUUUUUGCCCUAUUGGGUAGCUCUCUCAUACCAUGUUAUUAUUACUUCGUUGCUUUGGUGGGCCGUUAGGCCCCGGCCCGACUAAAGGCCCAGCCUGGUAAGUUCCAGCCAGAGGAUCAAAAAACCUGAAUAUUACAGUUUUCUGAGUCUUCUAUAAUAGUUCAAACUUUCAUCAACAGCUCUCUUGGUCCUGGCAUCAAUGAAGAACGCACCAGACACGAAGAGCACACGUCUGUACCCAAG